UACGUAGGGACCGAGCGUUGUCCGGAUUCAUUGGGCGUAAAGAGCUCGUAGGCGGCCACUCAAGUCGAAUGUGAAACCUCGAGGCUUAACCUCGAGCCUGCAUUCGAUACUGGGCGGCUAGAGUCUGGUAGGGGGAUCUGGAAUUCCUGGUGUAGCGGUGGAAUGCGCAGAUAUCAGGAGGAACACCGGUGGCGAAGGCGGGAUCCUGGGCCGGUACUGACGCUGAGGAGCGAAAGCGUGGGGAGCAAACAGG
rnacentral:rRNA from 1 species